rnacentral:lncRNA from 1 species
UCAUUUAUCUUUUAUAUAUCUCACUGAGGCUGUUUUAUUUUGCAAAAAUUCUUAAGCAUACUUACUUUGCAUUUAUUGCCUAAUCAAAACGAGAUUCGAGGAGAAGAAUGCCAUACUCUUAGAUCAAAGACUUGGGAAAUUUAAAAACUUGUAAACUCUUGCUGGCAUAUUGCUUAUUAGAGGGACCAUAGGCUAUCAUUUUUUUUCUUCUUCUCUCUUUUUUUAAGUGGAUACCGAGGUACCCCUAAUUCUACUGCCGGACACUUAUCCAUUUUUUUCUGCGAGGUUAUCGAGCACUUGCUCCUUUUUAUUUCCUCGUAAUAUCUUUAUUUUUGCAUAGCCCAUGCCUCUAAUGCAAUAAUACUUCGGAAGAGUGAAUCUUUCUAAAUAAAUGUCUUGAUCUUAGGAGCAUGAUAAAUCUCUCAAUAAGGGUCUAACUCAUUUUGAACAAACUCAAUACAGAGUAGAUAGAUUUUAUAAUCAUAAUUAAUAUUUUUAGUUUUAUCAGACAUAUAAAACACUGAGGAUGGUAGCU